rnacentral:ncRNA from 2 species
CCACCAUCCAGAGCGGCCGAGAGAUCUGGCUCGAUGACGCCGCAGCAACCCGCGGUCCCCCGGGACCGGAGCAGGGUGCUACCGCCAGGACCGAUGGAGG